GAUGAACGCUGGCGGCGUGCCUAAUACAUGCAAGUAGAACGCUGAAGCUUGGUGCUUGCACCGAGCGGAUGAGUUGCGAACGGGUGAGUAACGCGUAGGUAACCUGCCUGGUAGCGGGGGAUAACUAUUGGAAACGAUAGCUAAUACCGCAUAACAGUCGACAUUGCAUGAUGUUGAUUUGAAAGGGGCAAAUGCUCCACUACCAGAUGGACCUGCGUUGUAUUAGCUAGUUGGUGAGGUAACGGCUCACCAAGGCGACGAUACAUAGCCGACCUGAGAGGGUGAUCGGCCACACUGGGACUGAGACACGGCCCAGACUCCUACGGGAGGCAGCAGUAGGGAAUCUUCGGCAAUGGGGGCAACCCUGACCGAGCAACGCCGCGUGAGUGAAGAAGGUUUUCGGAUCGUAAAGCUCUGUUGUAAGAGAAGAACGAGUGUGAGAGUGGAAAGUUCACACUGUGACGGAACUACCAGAAAGG
rnacentral:rRNA from 1 species